rnacentral:rRNA from 1 species
AGUGAACGCUGGCGGUAGGCCUAACACAUGCAAGUCGAACGGCAGCACAGUAAGAGCUUGCUCUUACGGGUGGCGAGUGGCGGACGGGUGAGGAAUACAUCGGAAUCUACUUUUUCGUGGGUGAUAACGUAGGGAAACUUACGCUAAUACCGCAUACGACCUACGGGUGAAAGCAGGGGAUCUUCGGACCUUGCGCGAUUGAAUGAGCCGAUGUCGGAUUAGCUAGUUGGCGGGGUAAAGGCCCACCAAGGCGACGAGCCGUAGCUGGUCUGAGAGGAUGAUCAGCAACACUGGAACUGAGAAACGGUCCAGACUCCUACGGGAGGCAGCAGUGGGGAAUAUUGGACAAUGGGCGCAAGCCUGAUCCAGCCAUACCGCGUGGGUGAAGAAGGCCUUCGGGUUGUAAAGCCCUUUUGUUGGGAAAGAAAAGCAGCAGGUUAAUACCCCGCUGUUCUGACGGUACCCAAAGAAUAAGCACCGGCUAACUUCGU